UAACAAUAGAAUCACCCUGGGACUGAAGGGAUUGUCUUAAGACCAAUGUGCUACAGUUCUAACAAUAGAAUCACCCCGGGACUGAAGGGAUUGUCUUAAGACCAAUGUGCUACAGUUCUAACAAUAGAAUCACCCCGGGACUGAAGGGAUUGUCUUAAGACCAAUGUGCUACAGUUCUAACAAUAGAAUCACCCCGGGACUGAAGGGAUUGUCUUAAGACCAAUGUGCUACAGUUCUAACAAUAGAAUCACCCCGGGACUGAAGGGAUUGUCUUAAGACCAAUGUGACUGUCUCAGAGUUAAGAUAAAAAUAACACAUAAAACAAGGCAUUCAAAAGGGCUAGCAGCAGCUGCCAUGGUUUAAUAGUUAAAAAGACCAAACCCUUGAGAAAGGCCCUGUGCAGUGGGUGAUAUAAAAAACAUUUCAUAAGAGGUUUAUAUUAUUGAAACCAAAACAGUAUACAAUGUAGUCUAUUCUCAUCCCUACCCUCAAUAACUCCCUAAUGGCCCAUGUGGCCCUGGUCAAACGUAGUGCAUUAUAUAGGGAAUAUGGUCCCAUUUGGGACUCAGCCCUUAUGAAUGGCUCAGUGUCGUGUAGAGCAGGUUGCCCAGGUCAGUAGCCUCCUGGGAGAAUGGUGAUUGAUUACAUGACUUUGUUCCACCUGGUAAAUCUCUUCAAUGGAUCCCUGCAUCCCAUCUCUGCAUCUAAUCAAUACAUUCAUACGUAUGACUCAGACUAAUGACAUUUAAUAGGGGCUGAGCUGGGGAUGGGACUAGGGCUGGGGAUGGGACUAGGUCUGAGCUGGGGAUGGGACUAGGGCUGGGGAUGGGACUAGGGCUGGGGAUGGGACUAGGGCUGGGGAUGGGACUAGGGCUGGGGAUGGGACUAGGUCUGAGCUGGAGAUGGGACUAGGGCUGGGGAUGGGACUAGAGCUGGGGAUGGGACUAGGGCUAAACUGGGGAUGGGACUAGGGCUAAACUGGGGAUGGGACUAGGUCUGAGCUGGGGAUGGGAGUAGGGCUGGGACUAGGGCUGGGGAUGGGACUAGGGCUGUGGAUGGGACUAGGUCUGAGCUGGGGAUGGGACUAGGUCUGAGCUGGGGAUGGGACUAGGACUGGGGAUGGGACUAGGUCUGAGCUGGGGAUGGUCCUAGGUCUGGGGAUGGGACUAGGGCUGGGGAUGGGACUAGGACUGGGGAUGGGACUAGGGCUGAGCUGGGGAUGGAACUAAGGCUGAGCUGGGGAUGGGACUAAGGCUGAGCUGGAGAUGGGACUAGGGCUGAGCUGGGGAUGGGACUAUGUCUGAGCUGGGGAUGGGACUAGGGCUGGGGAUGGGACUAGGGCUGGGGAUGGGACUAGGGCUGGGGAUGGGACUAGGUCUGAGCUGGGGAUGGGACUAUGUCUGAGCUGGGGAUGGGACUAGAGCUGGGGAUGGGACUAGGGCUGGGGAUGGGACUAUGUCUGAGCUGGGGAUGGGACUAGGUCUGAGCUGGGGAUGGGACUAGGGCUGGGACUAGGGCUGUGGAUGGGACUAGGUCUGAGCUGGGGAUGGGACUAGGUCUGAGCUGGGGAUGGGACUAGGACUGGGGAUGGGACUAGGUCUGAGCUGGGGAUGGUCCUAGGUCUGGGGAUGGGACUAGGGCUGGGACUAGGUCUGAGCUGGUGAUGGGACUAGGACUGGGGAUGGGACUAGGGCUGAGCUGGGGAUGGGACUAGGGCUGAGCUGGGGAUGGGACUAGGGCUGAGCUGGGGAUGGGACUAAGGCUGAGCUGGGGAUGGGACUAGGGCUGGGGAUGGGACUAGGGCUGAGCUGGGGAUGGGACUAGGGCUGGGGAUGGGACUAGUGCUGAGCUGGGGAUGGGACUAGAGCUGGGGAUGGGACUAGGGCUGGGGGGAUGGGACUAG
ensembl:lncRNA